AGCGCGCCUUGCUCACCGUGGUCCCCGGCGGUGGCGGCGCGGGCGGGAGCCUCAGGGCGCGGGGGUCGGCGGCGGGUCGCGUGGGGGUCACCCGGCCGCUGCUGCGGUCCGGACGGCAGUUGGUCCAGUAGUUUCGGAUGCCCGGGCUAGGCUCGGCGGAGAGCGAGUCGGCGUGAAUGAGAGCAAACCAACAGGGCUGUGCGUGGCGCGUAAAGAAGUGUUGAAGAAGAGAGAGACAGAAGAAAAUCACCAUAAAAAGUCAGACACGAGAGCUUAGAAGUCAAUUAAGACAGGGCUUGGAAGGGGCAUUAGGUUUUUGGGGAACCGGUGUUACAUGAAGGUGCUGUUAACACUGGGAGUAGUGCUUUCUCUUAUUGAGAAAAAAAAAACACCUCUGUUUGCAUCUGUAGACAAAGAUCUGUUCAGAAUGGUUGGCUUUGUGAGUUUACAGCUGGCCGAUGAGAGGUGCUGCAUGAUAUUGGAAGAUGGGACAGAAGGAACCAGUAUUCUGCAGAGGCAGUUGCAUGAGCAGAUAUGAAAUGUCCUGGAGGCUCCCCCAGUAAGCUGAGAAGCACCUGCUUUCCCACUAUAGACUGAGACCACUGAUGGAAGCUUCCCAGAGAUUUGAGAAUUGCAGAAGCUUCUGUGAGCUAUGAAGAACAACGUGACUUUGACCUUCAGACUGAGAUAUAGCUGGAGGCUGCUUUGACCUUCUUUCCCACAGCUCUUUUGACCUUUCUAAAGCCCCAAACCCUAUCUUAAAAAUGACAAAUAUGGAAUGCAAAGAGCAGCUUUUCUUUUUCUGAUCAUGGCCUUAAUGUAAUACAAUAGUGAAACCGUCUAGCAUAGUGAUUAAGAACAUUGGCUGUAGAAUUAGACAUAUUUAGUUUAGCAUUUUGAUUCUACCCCAAACUGGCAAAGUUACUGAAUGUAUCUAAAUUUUAAUUUGCUCA
rnacentral:lncRNA from 10 species